UACGUAGGGUGCGAGCGUUGUCCGGAAUUAUUGGGCGUAAAGAGCUUGUAGGUGGCUCGUCGCGUCGGGAGUGGAAACCCGCGGCUUAACCGCGGGCCUGCUUUCGAUACGGGCGGGCUAGAGUUCGGCAGGGGAGACUGGAAUUCCUGGUGUAGCGGUGGAAUGCGCAGAUAUCAGGAGGAACACCGGUGGCGAAGGCGGGUCUCUGGGCCGAUACUGACACUGAGAAGCGAAAGCGUGGGGAGCGAACAGG
rnacentral:rRNA from 1 species